AACGAACGCUGGCGGCAGGCCUAACACAUGCAAGUCGAACGCAUCGCAAGAUGAGUGGCGCACGAGUGAGUAACACGUGGGAAUGUAUCCUUUGGUUCGGAAUAACGUCUGGAAACGGACGCUAAUACCGGAUGAGCCCUUAGGGGGAAAGAUUUAUCGCCGAAGGAGCAGCCCGCGUCUGAUUAGGUAGUUGGUGGGGUAAAGGCCUACCAAGCCGACGAUCAGUAGCUGGUCUGAGAGGAUGAUCAGCCACACUGGGACUGAGACACGGCCCAGGCUCCGACGGGAGGCAGCAGUGGGUAAGAUUGGACAAUGGGCGAAAGCCUGAUCCAGCCAUGCCGCGUGAGUGAUGAAGGCCUUCGGGUCGUAAAGCUCUUUCGCACGCGACGAUGAUGACGGUAGUGUGAGAAGAAGCCCCGGCUAACUUCGUGCCAGCCGCCGCCGUAACAC
rnacentral:rRNA from 1 species